CAAUCUUCCACCUACGCGGGAAGAGUGAAUUCUCAUGCAUAUAAUGGAAAUACACCUAAGAAGAAAAACAAAAAAAAAAAAAACCCAAACCCCAGGCUGAAUUCCAGAAAAAAACACUUCCUUAGAGUAACGUGUUUGAAGGGACAUCACAGAAACUUUAUUGAAAGUAGAAGUUGUAGGAACAUCUGUUGCAGAGGUCAGUCGUGCAUCCUCACAGAUGGGACGGUAACUCAAUAUACAGGCUCCAACUUUAACGAGUCUCUUUACUGAGCCACAGAAAAUACUGCUCAGGGGUCCACUGUUAUCCCAAUACAUAAGAGCAGCGUGGGAGUGAGAGGACACACAGCAAUUACUUCAGGAUUGAGACAUUCCAAAGAUUCCUCCAGGCAGUAAGCUCCCAAUCAUUGAGUUCAAAAUCUGCUGUUCCUGCUGCUCGAAGCGUCCAAAACCAGCACAUUCCCUGAAUCCACAGCAUCUGAAAAGCAAAUAAAACAGCAGGAAACACUCACCUAACCCACAAUCCUUUUGUUGCAGUUAAGGGCAGCAGAGGAGGGUCCGUGUGAAGGGAAUGGACUGAGGAAAUCAAUUUUAUCUACAGAAACUCCCUGUGAACAUCCCACCACCAGCAACUGCAAACAUCUCUAUUUGUCUGAGCUCCACCAGACACUGCAGCAAGGACCCAUCUUCCAGUUAUUGAUCCUCUACAAGUAUCCACGGAAUUAAGCCAGUAAAAUAUGAUCUUACACAAUCCACCAUAAUUAAUAUGCAAAAUUAUAAUGAAUUCACUGUUUUAAUGAGUUUUGUUUAA